rnacentral:lncRNA from 1 species
GGACCCGGAAGUGAAGGGGCGGGGCCUAAAACAAGAUGGCGGCACUCAGAAGCUGGGGGUGGGGCCUAAAACAAGAUGGCGGCACCCGGAAGUGGAAGGACCAGGAAGUGAAGGGGUGAGGCCUGAAACAGGAUGGCGGAACCCGGAAGUAAAGGGGUGGGGUCUAAACCAAGAUGGCGGCACCCGGAAGUAAAGGGGCGGGGCCUAAAACAAGAUGGCGGACCCUAAAGUAAAGGGUGGGGACCCGGAAGUGGGAAGGGCGGGGCUUAAAACAAGAUGGCGGCACCCGGAAGUAAAGGGGAGGGACCCGGAAGUAGAGGGAGGGGCCUGGAAGUGAAGGGGUGGGGCCUAAAACAAGAUGGCGGAACCCGGAAGUUGAAGUCAGGGCCUAAAACAAGAUGGCGGAACCCGAAAGUGAAGGGGGCGGGGCCUUAAACAAGAUGGCGGGGCCUUGUUAGGGCCCUAAUGGGUUUCUAUGGGUCUAUAAGGGUUUCUAUGGGUCUAUAGGGGGUUUUAUAGGGUUUCUAUGGGUCUAUAGGGGCCUCCAUGGGUCUGUAGGGUUCUCUAUGGGGCGCUAUGGGGUUUCUAUGGGUCUAUAGGGGUUUCUAUGGGGUUUCUAUGGGUCUGUGGGGUCUCUAUGGAGCGCUAUGGGGUUUCUAUGGGUCUACAGGGUCCUCUAUGGGGAACUGUGGGGUUCUAUGGGUCUUACAGGGGCCUCCAUGGGUUGCUAUGGGCUCUCUAUGGGGCACUGUGGGUCUAUAGGGGUCUCUGUGGGGCACUAUGGGGUCUCUAUGGGGCACUAUGGGUCUAUAGGGGUCUCUAUGGGGCACUGUGGGUCUAUAGGGGUCUCUAUGGGGCACUAUGGGGUCUCUAUGGGGCACUGUGGGUCUAUAGGGUUAUCUAUGGGGCACUAUGGGGUUUCUGUGGGUCUAUAGGGGCCUCUACGGGGCACUAUGGGAUCUCUAUGGGGCACUGUGGGUCUAUAGGGUUAUCUAUGGGGCACUAUGGGGUUUCUAUGUGUCUAUAGGGGUCUCUAUGGGGCACUAUGGGUCUAUAGGGGUCUCUAUGGGGCACUGUGGGUCUAUAGGGUUAUCUAUGGGGCACUAUGGGGUUUCUAUGGGUCUGUAGGGGCCUCUAUGGGGCACUAUGGGAUCUCUAUGGGGCACUGUGGGUCUAUAGGGUUAUCUAUGGGGCACUAUGGGGUUUCUGUGGGUCUGUAGGGGCCUCUAUGGGGCACUAUGGGCUCUCUAUGGGGCACUGUGGGUCUAUAGGGGUCUCCAUAGGGUACUAUGGGGUUUCUAUGGGUCUGUAGGGGCCUCUAUGGGGCACUGUGGGUCUCUAUAUGGCACUGUGGGUCUAUAGGGGUCUCUAUGGGGCACUAUGGGGUUUCUAUGGGUCUUUAGGGGCCUCUGUGGGGCACUAUGGGGUUUCUAUGGGGCACUGUGGGUCUAUAGGGAUCUCUAUAGGGUACUAUGGGGUUUCUAUGGGUCUGUAGGGGCCUCUAUGGGGCACUGUGGGGUCUCUAUGGGGCACUGUGGGUCUAUAGGGUUAUCUAUGGGGCACUAUGGGGUUUCUAUGGGUCUAUAGGGGCCUCUAUGGGGCACUAUGGGUCUAUAAGGGUAUCUAUGGGGCACUAUGGGGUUUCUGUGGGUCUAUAGGGGUCUCUAUGGGGUUUCUGACCUACUAAUUACCCUAAUUAACCCCCGCAGUUAAUUAAGCCGGCCGUGGCCCCUUCAUUUCAAUGGGGUCCCGGCGUGCAAUGGCUGCGCACAGUGACCCCCCCCCGGCUGUGUAGGGCGCCCUAUAGGGCACACAGUCACUAUAUAGGGCGCCCAUAGGGGCCGGGGGGACAUAAAACCCCAUAGGACCCCAUAGGACCCUAUAGGAUCUUACAGAACCCCAUAGAAUCCCAUAGAGUCCUAUAGGACCCCAUAGAGCCCAUACAACCCUAUAGAACCCCAUAGAACUCUCCCAUAGGAAACCCCCAUAGAACCCGUAUGGGGAUCUUAUAGAACCCCAUAGAAUCC